rnacentral:rRNA from 1 species
GAGGAAUAAGCAUCGGCUAACUCCGUGCCAGCAGCCGCGGUAAUACGGGGGAUGCAAGCGUUAUCCGAAAUCAUUGGGCGUAAAGCGCCUGUAGGUUGUUUAUUAAGUCUGUUGUUAAAGCCUAGGGCUUAACCCUAGAACAGCAAUGGAAACUGGUAAACUUGAGUAUGGUAGGGGUAGAGGGAAUUUCUAGUGUAGCGGUGAAAUGCGUAGAUAUUAGAAAGAACACCAGUGGCGAAAGCGCUCUACUGGACCAUUACUGACACUCAGAGGCGAAAGCUAGGGUAGCAAAAGGGAUUAGAUACCCCUGUAGUCCUAGCCGUAAACGAUGGAUACUAGAUGUUGCGCUUAUAGUGCAGUAUCGUAGCUAACGCGUUAAGUAUCCCGCCUGGGGAGUACGCUCGCAAGGGUGAAACUCAAAGGAAUUGACGGGGGCCCGCACAAGCGGUGGAGCAUGUGGUUUAAUUCGAUGCAACGCGAAGAACCUUACCAGGGCUUGACAUACUGCGAAUCUCUUUGAAAGAAGAGAGUGCCUUCGGGAAUGCAGAUACAGGUGGUGCAUGGCUGUCGUCAGCUCGUGUCGUGAGAUGUUGGGUUAAGUCCCGCAACGAGCGCAACCCUUGUUUUUAGUUACUAAUUUAUUUAGGUUUUCUAGAAAGACUGCCGGUGACAAACCGGAGGAAGGUGAGGAUGACGUCAAGUCAGCAUGCCCCUUAUGUCCUGGGCCACACACGUGCUACAAUGGUUAAGACAAAGAGUCGCAAAUUCGCAAGGAUAAGCUAAUCUCAUAAACUUAGCCUAAGUUCAGAUUGUAGGCUGCAACUCGCCUACGUGAAG